GGAAAAGGCCGUUUUACCGCCGUAAAAGUGGGUGUGACCAAAAUCGCGGCGCGCUUUGCACGCCCUUAGCACCUCCUUCCCCAAUUCCUAGAUACGCCCCUGCAUUAUUACGUUUACUGGUCAUGGUAAUGCUGUGAAUGAGUUACAGAUUCAUCCAAAAGACAAUAACCUCCUACUAUCAGCUAGUAAAGGAUUUUAAUUUCGAAGGCACUUGUAUAUUAUCAGCUGGUAUGGAUCAUGCACUGAAGAUGUGGGACCUCCAAACUGAUGAAUACACUGACGUCAUUAGGCAAUCAUAUGAACAUGUUAAAGGAUCAAAA